UGGGGAAUAUUGGACAAUGGGCGGAAGCCUGAUCCAGCCAUGCCGCGUGUGUGAAGAAGGCCUUUUGGUUGUAAAGCACUUUAAGCGAGGAGGAGGCUACUUGGAUUAAUACUCUAGGAUAGUGGACGUUACUCGCAGAAUAAGCACCGGCUAACUCUGUGCCAGCAGCCGCGGUAAUACAGAGGGUGCGAGCGUUAAUCGGAUUUACUGGGCGUAAAGCGUGCGUAGGCGGCUUCUUAAGUCGGAUGUGAAAUCUCUGAGCUUAACUUAGGAAUUGCAUUCGAUACUGGGAAGCUAGAGUAUGGGAGAGGAUAGUAGAAUUCCAGGUGUAGCGGUGAAAUGCGUAGAGAUCUGGAGGAAUACCGAUGGCGAAGGCAGCCAUCUGGCCUAAUACUGACGCUGAGGUACGAAAGCAUGGGGAGCAAACAGG
rnacentral:rRNA from 1 species